rnacentral:tRNA from 1 species
GGGAUGUGGCUUAGUGGUAGAGCACUUGCCUAGCAUGCAUGAGGCCCUGGGUUUGAUCCUCAGCACCACCA